CAGAAAUGCUGAAAUUGUCCUUCAGAGGAAGCAUUCACUUGAAACAACAAAAGAUUAGAGAAACCUGAAAAAUGUUGGAUUUUCUUUACCUUUUGAAGAAGGCCAGCUGGAACCUUCUGAAAUUAUUCCUAUUACAGUAUGCAGCCACAAACAGGACGGAUGGCCCAGGACUUCUUCAAGGUCUGCUCAUUCCAUUGUAUGAGGAAGGCCAAGAUGGCUGCACAACUGCGACUGAUGCCCGGGGUGGAAAGGAUCAGGAUGACAGAGCCAAGCUGGAGAGGACGGAGCGAAGCAUGGGAGGAUGUUUGGGAAGGGCUGUAUCUGCAAGAUGGUUCACUGGAUGAGACAAUCUGAGGGCAGGCCAAAUACGACACAACUUUCUUCACAAAAAGAUGCAGAAGUUGAGGGAGAGAAAACAAAGCACCUUCAUGGAGAAUCAGUCAUGCAACAGAACCAAGAGCUCCGAAUGUCCUGGCUUCCAGUUCUCGGCUCUGGCAGGGACACUGGGCUCCCUUUUCUCCUCAUGGGAACAACUGCUGACACUUGGGCUUUAGACUUUCACUUACAGGGCUGAUGAAAAAAAUUACCAUUUGCUGCGAAGGCAGUGAAAUGCUGACUUCUCACCCUUUGGUCAAGGCAACUUCCUUGAAAGUGCUUUAAAGCAGAUUGAUGGAGUCCAGAUCCAGCCAUUUUGUCUCCAUUGCAAUGGUGGCUCAUCCACAAAUAACCGCCUCCCCUUCGCCCCCACGAAAAGGGCAAAACCAAUGGCUAUCCUGAGUUCUCUGUUUCUUCGAUUGAAUUGAUCCUUCUUUAAAAUGCUUAUUGAAUUUUUGGCCAAUUUAAUUAAAAGAGGUAAAAGAGUAAACUUCUCCUGUGGAAGAAUUGUA